CGAGGGCAAAGAGGAAUAUUCCAGAGGGGCAAGUGUGGCAGGAAAAUUAUAAUGAAUGUUGAGAUGCAAUUGUGAGUGGAUUGCACCAUUUGAGUGAUCACAAGCUUGAUUACAAGGGAGCCACCAUGCGGAAGAUGGAAGAGCCAGCUGGAUCACUCCAAUGACCCAUCUAGUAAAGCAUUCUGCUCCCACAGAGGCCAACCAGAUGCCUGUGAGAAAUCCUCAAGCAAGACACAAGAGCGCAAGAGCACUCUUCCCUCCAGCGAUUGGUAUUCAGAAGGCUACUGCCUCCAAUUAUGAAGGCAGAGCAUAGCCAUCAUGGGAUUGAUCCCGGGGUGGCCUUCAUGUAAAGUGUGAGCUCUGUGUUUGAGCCAGGACAGUCUACAUCAGGGAGAGAAAUAAAGAAAACAACAGAAAGCGAGGCUCUCAACCAUAUAUAUCGUACCAGAAUUAAAUGUGAUUCCCUCACCUGCUGCGCCAGGUAUGCUUGCAUGUAAACAUGGGAUUUCCACAUGUGAAACCAGAAAUGUGCUCCAAUAGUGUGCAGACAGCGAAGUUCCACACAUGGUGUUGGGCAGCAAAAGUGGGAUAGGGCUAUUGCCCUUGUGUCCUGCUUGCAGGCUUCCUAUAGGCAUCUGAUUGGCCACUGUGGAAAAUAGGAUGCUGGGUUAGAUAGGGCUUUUGUAUGAUACACAAGGGCUCUCCCUGAUUUCUCACAUCUUUCUUUCAGAGCUGAUGAAAUCAGUAUUUUUGUCUGUGCCAUGUGUGUGUUUAUGUGUGAGUUCAAUUUUCUCAGCUUCUAUGCACUUGGAGCAUUUGGGAUGAGAAUUCUUUAGCAUCAAGAAACUGAUGCAGUGCUGGUUCCACCGUUGGGGUGGCUGUAGGUCACAGCACCAUCAGCGAGCCCCCUGGAUAAGGUCAUUAUUUUAGGUUGCAUCUGAUCCUCUUGAAUAAUUCUUUGCAAAGUGAAAAUGACAGCACAGCUAGGGUGGUGGGCCCUCUGCUGGUCUUGGGGCUCAGGCAAAUGCCUUACUUUGCUACCCUCUGAAGCUAGCUCUGGACAUUAAGAAGUAUGAGUCGCAGAAGAUAAAUGGGAUUGCGAGAGACAGGCAGGAAGCUGCGAAUGUAAUGAAAAGCUGAACAUUGAGGUUUGGUCCAGAUACACUCUAGAGGCCAGCAGUCACCAUUAUGUGUGCAGCAGUGCCCCCAGCACUGAAGUGAAUGAGACCAGGUGCACUUCUGACUUUGUGAGCUUUGAAUCAAAAAGUGGCAACUAGGAGAGCUAGAACACCACCUCAGAUCUUUCUCACUAGCCCCCAAACCUCCUGCCCCUUCUCCCAUUUUGUGUUGCCUUAUUUGCUUUGUUUGCAGAAUGGUUUUCCCUCUGAAAGUCACCCUAAAUUUACAUCAAUACACACAAAUUGAAUGCAAAUUAAAGUCAUGGGCCUGCCCCUCCCCAAGUCUUUAGACACCCCUGCUUUGCCAUGCCUUCCUUAUUUGGUAGGUGAAAACUGAGUUUCUUAGGAAUUGAAGUUCUGUUCCGAAGACCAUGUUCUGCAAGGAACUUUUCUCAUAUUAAGAGAAUUAGAAGUAUGUGAAACUUUAAAAGAGCAGGCUUCUCUAUACAGUACCUAUGGCAUGGCAGAUACUUUAAGGUGAACUUAUCUGGCAUGAUAUACAUUUUUAAAACUCGUGUAUUCAUAUCUGUUUUGAAAGUUAGCUCUUUCAGAUAAUUGCACUCUUUCACAUCACUCUUAUUCCCUCUCUCUCUCUUUUAAUCCAACAGUAGGGUUGCCGUAUUUCAAACAAUGAAAAACCAGAGGGCCAAGGUUUUUGAGCUUUUUUAGUUUUAGUAGUGGAGCUUUUUUGGCAUAAUCGCAUUAAGAAUUGCUGUUUUUUAGCUGUUCUUAUGUAAAAUCAGCAAAAACCUCCAGCAUGGGCUGACAUACGUUCGGAUUUUCAGUGUCUUUUUGCCGAUUUCCGCCUGCACGCUGCUGCCGAAUGCGGUAUUCCAGAUAUGUCCAGGAAAUUUCAGACGUAUGGCAACCCUAUAACAGCAAAUGCUAUUCUCAUAUGACUGCCUACCCCACCCCUACCCCCGCUGAGCUUUCCUUUUUAUUUUUGAUCUCUCAGAAAUGGAAGAGCCUCAUCAAUUAUGUGCAUUACGUCUCCCUCCUCCUUUAAGAAAAGUUCACUUUCACUCUUUCAAUGCGUUUGGCAUUUCUACACAGGUUAAAUGUUGUGCCAACAGAAGCAAUGCUGAUUUCCUAACAUUGUUGUAUUAACAUACCUCAAAUUUCGCCCAGAGCAAAGGGAAAUGAUGUUGUUUGGAAUGAGAUGGUAAUUUACUUUCCAUGGCUCUGAGUCCUAAGGCAUCUUCUUGGGACAUGACAGCCAGCUGUGUAAAUUGAAAUGGGCAAACAAUUGUCCACUGGGGGCUCCAGUAUCUCAAAAGCUGUCUUCUGUGUGGUUUCCCUGCUCACAUAGACAACAAUGUUAUUUUAUUUUCGCAGAGAUCACUGGGGUUUAGCUAUCAAAUAAAUGGACACUUCAGCCCAUAUCAUCUGUCUGCAUUAAGGGGGAAUAUAACUGUCAUCUAUUCAAGCUAUAGUAAAGGAACAGUAGCUUCUGGCUCUUGCUAUCAAAAGAUCAAAAGGAAAUGGAAGGGCAUCAGGAGAAGGCAAAAUCACAACCUCCCUGGGCAGCUUGCAAGUGGAUAUCUCAUGUACAAGUUAGGGCAGGCAUUAAAUUGGUCAUGCUUCAACUCUUGAUUUUGUUUGCAUUUAACAUCUGCACUUCAGCUUUGGCCUCGAGCCUUUUGUCCUUUUCGUAGCCCUCCUCAACAAAGCCGUGGAAAGCUGAUCCCCUAUUUACAAUAA